CAAUAAAUCACAAUGCGGGACUAUACGUCUUGCAAUUGGAUUGAGAACAAUGUACAACUCUUAUCGAUAAGCCAUUGGAGGGCAAGUCUGGUGCCAGCAGCCGCGGUAAUUCCAGCUCCAAUAGCGUAUAUUAACGUUGUUGCAGUUAAAAAGCUCGUAGUUGAAGUGUGGGUGAUCGCUGUUGUGAGACUUCGGUCUCUCGACAGUAAGUCACCCCCUUCCAGUAUCCAGUAGUGGGUAUUCAGUUACUUACUAUUGUGUGUUGGUCCUUUACUGUGAGAAAAUUAGAGUGUUCAAAGCAGGCGUUUGCUUGAAUAGAUUAGCAUGGAAUAAUAAUUGAAGGCUUUCGUGUUCGAUUUGAUUGGUUUGUUCAUGGAAGCAAGGUUAAAAGGAACAGUUGGGGGUAUUCAUAUUCACUAGUUAGAGGUGAAAUUCUCGGAUUUAUGGAAGAUGAAC
rnacentral:rRNA from 1 species